UACGGAGGGUGCAAGCGUUACUCGGAAUCACUGGGCGUAAAGGGCGCGUAGGCGGCCUAGCAAGUCUGGUGUGAAAGCCCAGGGCUCAACCCUGGAAGGGCACUGGAAACUGUUAGGCUUGAGUUCCGGAGAGGAGGGGGGAAUUCCCGGUGUAGCGGUGAAAUGCGUAGAUAUCGGUAGGAAUACCGGUGGCGAAGGGGCCCCUCGUGACGGAAACUGACUCUGAGGCGCGAAAGCGUGGGGAGCAAACAGG
rnacentral:rRNA from 1 species